UCCGAAUUAGUCUAGGUGGCUAGGAUAGGAGGUUUUCACCCUUCAGACAGGGGUUCGACUCCCCUAUUCGGAA
rnacentral:tRNA from 1 species